rfam:Coprinopsis cinerea okayama7#130 chromosome 6 cont3.6, whole genome shotgun sequence.
GCAUCAAUGGGGUAGUGGUAACCUGGAUCGUUGCCACUCAUAUCGAGAUUGACUCGAUCCGCCGGGGGUUCGAUUCCCCCUUGAUGCA